rnacentral:rRNA from 1 species
GGACCCGCACAAGCGGUGGAGCAUGUGGCUUAAUUCGAGGCAACGCGAAGAACCUUACCUGGGCUUGAAAUUAUACGGACAGUCUGUGAAAGCAGAUCUUCCUUCGGGACUGUAUAACAGGUGCUGCAUGGCUGUCGUCAGCUCGUGCCGUGAGGUGUUCGGUUAAGUCCGGCAACGAGCGCAACCCGUAUCAUUAGUUACCAACAGGUAAAGCUGGGGACUCUAGUGAGACUGCCCGUGUUAAGCGGGAGGAAGGCGCGGAUGACGUCAAGUCAGUAUGGCCCUUACGUCCAGGGCUGCACACGUGCUACAAUGGCCGGUACAAUGAGACGCGAAAUCGCGAGAUGGAGCAAAUCUACAAAACCGGUCUUAGUUCGGAUUGUAGUCUGCAACUCGACUACAUGAAGCCGGAAUCGCUAGUAAAGGCGUAUCAGCUACGACGCCUUGAAUACGUUCCCGGGUCUU